UUGGAUAAUCUUUACCUGUUCUGGGAUCUCUUGGAGCUCGGGUAUAGGGAUGGUCUGUUGUUCAACCUUCUGUCCCUGGAUCAGGAGAAGGCAUUUGAC